ACUUAAUUCAUUUAUUCCUUAAAACAUUAUUUGUUCCAUUUCACAGGUAAGGACACUGAGGCAGAGUUACUAAGGAGACAGAGAAAAGGAAUCCCUAGGGGUGGUGUCCCAGUGAAGAAAGGGUUCCGGAGAGGAUUCCUGAGUGAGUGUUGCCAGGCAACCAGGGGUGGGAGGAGGAGAGGUUAAGGGGAGGUUACUGGAAGAGGCAUUGAAAGUAGAAGAAGAAAACCUGCAUGCCAAUAAGUCUAUUGAGAGUCUCUUUAACUCAUCCAGGGGGUACAGAUGUAAGCCCAAACUAGGGCAGGUACUGUUAAAAAAAAAUAAAAGCGGGUGGUGGGGGGUGGGGACAAAGAAUUGUAAAAGAAAAAAAAAAAAAUCGGAAGGACUUGAUGGAGUGGAUGAGAUAGGACAAAGAGGAAUUCAAAUGCUUUACAGAGUUUCUGGAUGGGCUCCAUCCACUGAAGCCAGAAAUGCAGGAAGAGUGGCAGCACUGGGAGAGCACUGGGAGACAGAAUGAGUUCAUUUGGGGGAUGCUGUUGGCUUAUGCCCAUAGGACAUCCUAGAGAUAGAUGUUCAACAAGUAGCAGUCCCCGUGAGUGGAGAUUGGUAGACGUUCUGGAGCCUGGAGAUAAGAGCCACUCUGACAAGUAUGAUGCAAUAUCUCAUCAUGGUUUUGAUUUGCAUUUUCCUGAUGAUUCGGAGAGUACCGGCUUACCUGAGGUUGUUGGAGAAUCUCUCCACCAAUGCGACAAAGCUAUUCAGAGGAAAGUCUUUGACAUCGCUGACGCCUCCAGGAGAGUUUGUUGGUGCUCAUCGUCCCAGGCAUGUCUGCAGUUUGUCCUCACAUAAAGGAUGGAGAGAUCAAAUGAGAGUAUGCACAACAGAAAGAGUGUCAUCUUCGCAGAGUUCAAAUCCCAAGUCACACAAUGAAAAUUCUUUGUCUGAGUGGAAGUUAACUUUCCUCUCCAACAUGGCCAAUUUACCUGGUAUGCUCUGCUCGUCAUUGAAAUACUGUUAUACUUAAUAUCAGUUGUCCUGUCUUAAGCUUCUGUGGAGCGUUGGCCCACCACCACUGCCAUCCCAACUUUUUCCUGGGGAACUCCAGGACCACUGCCAGUGUGCUUCCAAAUGGUUGCUGCCUCUGCUUUUCUGGCUGUUAUAUGGUUUGAAUAUCCUUCUUGCUCUCAAACCUCUGUGCCCCAAUCUGUAAAAUGGAACACUAAUGCCAACCAUAGGGGUUAUUAUGGGGAUUAAAAGAAAAAACUGAACAUGUCCAACACUGAGUAAAUGAUCAACAUGCUAACUACCUUCCCUCUUCACUUCAAAGUGAUUCAGGCUUACAUCAAAGAAAACUUUCUCUCCAACCAUUUAGAAUAAGUGUUUCCAAAACCCAGACUCAAAA
rnacentral:lncRNA from 1 species